rnacentral:rRNA from 1 species
GAUGAACGCUGGCGGCGUGCCUAAUACAUGCAAGUCGAGCGAACAGACGAGGAGCUUGCUCCUCUAACGUUAGCGGCGGACGGGUGAGUAACACGUGGAUAACCUACCUAUAAGACUGGGAUAACUUCGGGAAACCGGAGCUAAUACCGGAUAAUAUAUUGAACCGCAUGGUUCAAUAGUGAAAGACGGUUUUGCUGUCACUUAUAGAUGGAUCCGCGCCGCAUUAGCUAGUUGGUAAGGUAACAACUUACCAAGGCAACGAUGCGUAGCCGACCUGAGAGGGUGAUCGGCCACACUGGAACUGAGACACGGUCCAGACUCCUACGGGAGGCAGCAGUAGGGAAUCUUCCGCAAUGGGCGAAAGCCUGACGGAGCAACGCCGCGUGAGUGAUGAAGGUCUUCGGAUCGUAAAACUCUGUUAUUAGGGAAGAACAAAUGUGUAAGUAACUAUGCACGUCUUGACGGUACCUAAUCAGAAAGCCACGGCUAACUACGUG